CACUUUUGCUAGCAGUUCCUUCUUCAAAGACUGAGGUGGAAAGAUUAUUCAGUGUUCUCAAAUUAAAAAACUGACAAAAGAAACAGGCUUUCUAAUGAAACCCUGAACGGCUUGCUUCAUAGAAAGUUCCCAACUUUGCCAGCAAACAAUUGCUCAAUUUUAGAACCGAACAGUGUUAGGUUGUGCAGCAAAAGAAUAUAAAAGCAAUGCGUCGACUUCCUUGAAAAUUCUAAUCCUAUAGAUCUAUGAUCUUCUGGGGGCGUUUAUAUUAUAUAUACCUACAUUAAAUUAUAUGCUGUGGUUUAUUUUCUGUAUUUUAUUUACGCUUUCUAUAUAAAUGAUUUAUGAAAGUUGUCUAGGAAAUUUUAGGGUAAAUUCAAAAGAAACUAGGGUAAAAUGUGUUAAAAAAAACGUAAGUGGAAACACUGCUUUGAAGUUUUCAAAAUUCCAGGGCCGUAAAACAAUCUCAAAAAAAAAAAAAAGUUUUCAAAAUGUCAUAACGAUUUAAUUUUUUAAAUCGUUUUUUUUUGGUCUUGGUGUGAGUUAUUUUACGUUGUAGUAUUAAUUUAGAGCAACUUUUAGCUUUAUGAGAAUAUUAGACGAUUAGACAUUGAGAAACUCUGUUUUGAAUUCUCUUUAGACAUAACUUGGCUCCAAUACUUUUUUCUUCGUUAGCGUUUCGUAAGCCUGUGUAACUAUUUUCAUUUCUUACAGAAUGUUUAUUAUUAAAAAUCAGCAUGCCUCGAAGAUCGAAAAUGAAAUGCUAUUUCGGAUGCCUUGAUAACGACAAAGGUUUGAUAAUGACAAAAUUUUAUGGAAAAAUUAUAAGGAGCACUAAAAUGUCUGAAACAUGAAAAGAUUGAUGCACUAUAUUUGAACCAGAACGUGUUAUGUAAUAUAUUAAUUUAAGAGAAACUGAUUCAGCAAGGAACGUGAACUCUCAAGGGAUCUUAAUUUUUUUUAAAUAUGUUUAUAAUUGAUAAAUUAAUAAUUGAAAUAGUUCAUAAGAACUAAAUUGAUGCCAAUUUUGUUUUAAAAUAGGUUGUUUAGUUCUUAUAGUUAUAGUAUUACGUUUGAAUAGUUGUAAUUAGUAAGUUAAUAAUAUAUGAAAAUACUGAUAUAAAUUUUUGUAAAUAACCUUUUGUAAAUUCUACGAGAAGAUGAUUUUAAUUAAUGAUCAAAAGUCAACGGUCUUUAAAAGCAUUAUUUGCAAUUAUUUAGAUUAACUGUGGAAUAUAUUUGCUAAGUUGUGUUUUCUGUAUGAGCAGAUAUAAAUGAAAAUGCCCAAACAUGAUUAUGUUUCUUACAUUUUCAUUAUGUGAAAUCAACAUGCUUGUGACUGAGUAUAUUAAUAAUUUAUUAAAACUUAAGUGAUAGACAGCAACCCCUAUGGCACUGCUGAAGUUUAUAAGCACUGGUGACCACUUAUCAUGGGCCGGGUUGCGUGCUCGUCUGCUGUUGAGUGCAAUAAAAAUUUUCGAAACCCUUUCUAUUAUUUAGAAUAGUAAUAUUAGUGUACAUUUAAUUUGGAUUAAAAGAUAAAUUUACAUUUUAUGUUUGCAUGUGUAUGUUUAUAAUUCAUUUGCAUGUAACGAACACCAGUUUCUUUUGUAACAAAAUGUAAACUAAUGGUUUGUAAUGAAUGUAAUUAACUUUAAGAUGAUUUUCUUUCAAUCUGCUGUUUGUUUCAUCUAGUAUUACCAAAGCUAAAGCAUCAGAAACGUCAGAAUAGAAAUAAUUUAGAUAGGGAAUAAAAGUAUAACUAAUGUAAUCAUGUCUAAGAUUGCUAUAAGCGUCAUUAAGUACAAACUAUCAAUAUUUAAGAGUACUUUAAAUCAUCAUUACAUUUUUUAAACAUUUUUUGUUUUUCAAAUCAUGUAAUAAAACGUUUGUGCAGAACAAAAUGUCACAUGUUAUGAACAUGAUUGUGGGUUAAUCGUUUCUUAAAUUUCUAAAUGUUUAUAAGAAUGCUAAGAAUAAUUUAGUAUUCACUUUAGUGUGUGUAUUAUCUCUACAAUGCUAGUAUAAAUGACAAUUAUUGUAUGACGAAGCAUAGGUAGUGUUUAUAGAUGUAAUAUUUUCAUACAAGGUCAUGAUCUGUCAGGAUCAACUUUAAGCAAGAACUGCUAUAGUUAAGAAACAAAUUUAUUAAAUUUAAUUCAAAUUGUCUACUAUGUUUGUAAUGGAAAGCUGACAUGUUUAUAUUUCGCACAAAUGACUUAAGUGACAUUGAAUGAUUUGAUUAUCUAGACUUAAUUAACUUUUAGAUAACUUUCGAUUUAAUGUUAUUAAGUACUCUAGUAGGAUUAAUCUAGAGGAGUUAUUGUUAUUCGAAAUUUUAUACAAUUGUACGUUCAUACUAUCUUUUAACAGUAAAUUGUUUUUUAAUAUAGGGAAAUUAAAUAGCUUACAGAGAA